rnacentral:rRNA from 1 species
AUACAUGCAAGUCGAACGCUUUGUGGUUCAACUGAUUUGAAGAGCUUGCUCAGAUAUGACGAUGGACAUUGCAAAGAGUGGCGAACGGGUGAGUAACACGUGGGAAACCUACCUCUUAGCAGGGGAUAACAUUUGGAAACAGAUGCUAAUACCGUAUAACAAUGACAACCGCAUGGUUGUUAUUUAAAAGAUGGUUCUGCUAUCACUAAGAGAUGGUCCCGCGGUGCAUUAGCUAGUUGGUAAGGUAAUGGCUUACCAAGGCGAUGAUGCAUAGCCGAGUUGAGAGACUGAUCGGCCACAAUGGGACUGAGACACGGCCCAUACUCCUACGGGAGGCAGCAGUAGGGAAUCUUCCACAAUGGGCGAAAGCCUGAUGGAGCAACGCCGCGUGUGUGAUGAAGGGUUUCGGCUCGUAAAACACUGUUGUAAGAGAAGAAUGACAUUGAGAGUAACUGUUCAAUGUGUGACGGUAUCUUACCAGAAAGGAACGGCUAAAUACGUGCCAGCAGCCGCGGUAAUACGUAUGUUCCAAGCGUUAUCCGGAUUUAUUGGGCGUAAAGCGAGCGCAGACGGUUAUUUAAGUCUGAAGUGAAAGCCCUCAGCUCAACUGAGGAAUUGCUUUGGAAACUGGAUGACUUGAGUGCAGUAGAGGAAAGUGGAACUCCAUGUGUAGCGGUGAAAUGCGUAGAUAUAUGGAAGAACACCAGUGGCGAAGGCGGCUUUCUGGACUGUAACUGACGUUGAGGCUCGAAAGUGUGGGUAGCAAACAGGAUUAGAUACCCUGGUAGUCCACACCGUAAACGAUGAGUGCUAGGUGUUUGAGGGUUUCCGCCCUUAAGUGCCGCAGCUAACGCAUUAAGCACUCCGCCUGGGGAGUACGACCGCAAGGUUGAAACUCAAAGGAAUUGACGGGGACCCGCACAAGCGGUGGAGCAUGUGGUUUAAUUCGAAGCAACGCGAAGAACCUUACCAGGUCUUGACAUCCCUUGACAACUCCAGAGAUGGAGCGUUCCCUUCGGGGACAAGGUGACAGGUGGUGCAUGGUUGUCGUCAGCUCGUGUCGUGAGAUGUUGGGUUAAGUCCCGCAACGAGCGCAACCCUUAUUACUAGUUGCCAGCAUUCAGUUGGGCACUCUAGUGAGACUGCCGGUGACAAACCGGAGGAAGGUGGGGAUGACGUCAAAUCAUCAUGCCCCUUAUGACCUGGGCUACACACGUGCUACAAUGGCGUAUACAACGAGUUGCCAACCCGCGAGGGUGAGCUAAUCUCUUAAAGUACGUCUCAGUUCGGAUUGUAGGCUGCAACUCGCCUACAUGAAGUCGGAAUCGCUAGUAAUCGCGGAUCAGCACGCCGCGGUGAAUACGUUCCCGGGUCUUGUACACACCGCCCGUCACACCAUGAGAGUUUGUAACACCCAAAGCCGGUGGGGUAACCUUCGGGAGCCAGCCGUCUAAGGUG